GAGUUUGAUCGUGGCUCAGGAUAAACGCUGGCGGCGCACAUAAGACAUGCAAGUCGAACGAACUUAAUUUUAAUAUUUAUAUUAAAAAGCGGUUAGUGGCGGACUGGUGAGUAACGCGUAAGCAAUCUGCCUAUCAGGGGGGGAAUAACAGUGAGAAAUCAUUGCUAAUACCGCAUAUGCCAUAAGAAUCACAUGAUUCUAGUGGGAAAGGAGCAAUCCACUGAUAGAUGAGCUUGCGUCUGAUUAGCUAGUUGGUGGGAUAACGGCCUACCAAGGCGACGAUCAGUAGCCGGACUGAGAGGUUGAACGGCCACAUUGGGACUGAGAUACGGCCCAGACUCCUACGGGAGGCAGCAGUCGGGAAUAUUGCGCAAUGGAGGAAACUCUGACGCAGUGACGCCGCGUAUAGGAAGAAGGUUUUCGGAUUGUAAACUAUUGUCGUUAGGGAAGAUAAAAGACAGUACCUAAGGAGGAAGCUCCGGCUAACUACGUGCCAGCCGCCGCAGUAAC
rnacentral:rRNA from 1 species